CUUCUGCGAGGGCGCGAGGACUCCAGGAGCCGUCCUGGUUCGAGCAUUUCUGAAGAAACUGAGUUCCCGGCGUUCGCAGCCUGGGAGUCACAGGCGCCCACCCACCGGUUGCAGUUACAACACAAGUUGAAGUCACAGCCUUGCCGGAACUCUUAUGUAAAGUUUAGGGCAUUGGAUCUGGAAGGAGUGGGACCCUGAGAAUCGUAAAGGGAUAUUUGGGUGGACUUGAGCAAAUCCAAGAACCCUGAACUGAGGAAGAGCAGUGUGAGUACAUGGUCAGGGGCUCCAUGAAUAUUCCUGCCUGCAACCCCAGCUUCACAGGCAAUUCAGCCUUCUCCACACUGGCCCGGCACUGGCUAGCUGCUCACCUUAUGGCUCGAGGCAGGACCCCCCCGCAGCCUUGCAGCUGAGUGGGAAGUUGCUGGAAGUUGUAUCUGUUUAUUGCUUUUAAGGCUGUCAUGAGCAGACAUAAGACCUCAUAUCACACAAGCUUGAUGCCACCAAGAGGACGGGAGCUGGGCUGGGUCCUGAGCCCUUCUAGCGGUGUGGCUUUGGCUUGUGACCCCCGACUCAGCCUCAGUAUCAUCUAUCAAAUAGGCCUAAUAAUGGGCAUGUCCCGGGACUGCUGUGAAAACGAAGUGGAGUAAGAUUGCAACGGGGCCUGGUGAGGUGGCUCACGCCUGUAAUCCCAACACUUUGGGAGGCCGAGGUGGGCGGAUCAUUUGAGGUCAGGUGUUCAAGACCAGCCUGGCCAACAUGGUGAAACCCCGUCUCUACUAAAAAUACAAAAAUUAGCCAGGCAUGGUGGUGGGCACCUGUAAUUCCAGCUACUCGGGAAGCUGAGGCAGGAGAAUUGCUUGACCCGGGAGGUGGAGGUUGCAGUGAGCUGAGAUCGCACCUCUGCACUCCAGCCUGGGCGACAGAGCAAGACUCCCAUCUCAAAAAAAAGAUUGCAACAGGCCUGGCAAUUUAUCUUUCAUUCUGAGUAGCCAUGUAACCCCUAGUGGUAACUAGGAGAAAUUGUCCUCCAGCAGUCUGUCCCCUCCCUCAGUAGCUGGGGCGGAAUGAGAUAUGGCCCUGGGCCUGGUGCAAGAUUUUCACUUGUUUUGGAAGCAUUAGCCACAGCUUUUCCUUGAUGGGCAUGUGUUAUCAUGAGGCUGGGCCUCACCUCCCUGCAUUGGACCAGAAAUUCUAAAGGAAGCAACUUCUUAUGGCACAGCGGAUCUCAUGCAUGGCAUCACUGCCCCUUCCCUAGGAGACCGCACAAAGCCACUCAGCUUCAUAGCUGGGCUGUGGCCUCAGAGGCUUUUGUGCCUGGAGGUGGCAGGGAACUGUGGUGUGGGGGCUGGGCCAGCCGGGAAGGUAGAGCCGCCCAGACUGGGGUCUGGGUUCCUGAAGUCACUGUUAUCCUGCAGGGAGACCUCAGCCAAGCCCCAGUGACACGCAGGGUCUCGCUCUCCACGCUGAAGGCUGUGCUGAGGGCUGAGCAAAAAGAGGCCAGACACCAGGGAGGGAAGCCCGCCUCCCCCUCCCCACCUCGACCUCCACACCAGUUAAGGCUGACCGGCAGGUUGCUGUGGGGGAAGCGACAGCGUGCAGACAGCACUGCAUGCCAGGCCACACCUUUUAUGGAAAUGUUCCUCUGAGACCUGUUGAUGAGCUUGGAGAAUGAGGAAGGGGACGGUCCAGCGGCCAGCUGGGUCCACACCCUGCCGCCGGCCCUGAGGAGGGAAGGCACGAGUCACUGCCUAUUUUGACCCGGCAAGAAAUACAAACCCACAGGGUGAGGCGGGCAGAAAAGCAGCUCUGUGGGAGACCUGCAGGCCCCUGAGCAUCCCCUGCCCCAGUCAGGUUCUCGCCCAGGUGCAUAAACCGGCCCCAUGUGGCGGCAUCCUUACCAAGGACCCCCAGGUGACCGGACAGGAGGGGUGAGGCUAGGCUGCCAGGCAGACAGGGUAGCACCAGAUGGGAUGGGCUGGGGGCUCCAGGGCACGGUGUCUGUGGCAACCCAACCUGGGAAGAUGUUAUUGCUCUGCUGGAGACCUUGGGCCAGGCCCCGCGAAGCCCUGCCUAGCCCCUUGGCGUGGGUUAGCGGUGCUUUAAGGCAGCCCGAGGCGAGGAGGCCAGGUCAUACCUGCGGGAGCUUGAUGAGGCCUCAUGAGAAAGCCCUAGUCUCAGUUCCUGGGCCCGGGGCCUCUGCAGGCCUCCACCACCCCAUGCUGCCUAGUUCAAGUAUUUGUUGUGGGCUGGCCAGAUCAAGAGUCACCUGCUAGAACACAGGGGUAGGAAUCUUAGGUGGGAGUGGGAACAGAGUGGCACCAGGCCCAUUCCCUCCUGGCUCUCAAGGUCCAUGCUGGCCCUCAGGGGCUUCCUGUGGGGGACUCUUUGUGCUGUCACUGCAAGGGACCCUCCUGCGGAUGGGCUGGAGGCCACAGGGACAUGGCCCCAGCUCACUGAGCUCCUGAGUGGUCAUGAUUGACUAUGUGCUUGAACUUGGGGAGGGACGUGUAGAUGGGAAGGGGGUGACCUUAGGGAGGGUAAAAGAGGACCCUAGCUCUGCUGCCCUGGGACAGUAAGGGGAAGGCCCAGGCCUGGCUGCCCAUCCUCUGUGCCUACAACCUGCUCUUUCCUUAAAUUCUGCCAGCAAUGGGCCACCCCUAGCCCCGGAGCAGCUCAGCCCACCUCCUGCCAGCUGCAUCUCCCUGGAGGCCCAGGGCUUUCUCCGACCUCUCACACAAGCCCUUUGCAAAAGAGCUGACUUCCUGGAGGCCAGGGCAGGAGCAUCUGCCACAGGUCAAGGGGCAGGGAUGUCGGGGGUACUCAGGAUGGUGACCCCUCCUGGUCCAUGCUGUGACCCACAGCAGGGGUUUCGAGGAGACUCCGGGGCUCGGGGACCCCCAUCGGCAGGCUGCCAGGCCUCCCUGCACAUGCAGGUCUCCGUGGUCCUGCGUCCAGGCAGGAAGGCCCCUGGGCUGCUGUUGCUGGAGAAGGAAUGUGGGGGGUCUCGGUGCCAAGACUGGGGAUAGCAAGGAGGUGAGUGGGAAAUGCAACCACAGGCCAGCCAGCGCCCGUGCAUGGAGUCAAAGGGAGGAGUCAGCAUGGUGACCACUGCCCCUGCACCGGGGGAGGAAGGCAUGGGGGUCCUGGUGAACCUCUCCCUGUACUGCCCAGAGCCCAGCCUGACUCCCCCCGAAGCCGGGUAGGGAUGCAUCACUCCGACUAACAAAUGUCUCAGCCCUAAAGGGCCCCUGGCUCCAGGUCACCCUCCAGCUCUACAGAAGGGCAGGGACGAAUCUGAUCCUUGUUAGCACUGACACAAGAGGGCGGGACCUGAGUCAGCCCCAGGGGAAGCCAGCAUGCCCUGGAAAGGCUGGUCCCACCAAAGCAUGCUAGUGUGUCUCCCAGGCUGCACCCAGGAAGGCUGGGUUGGGGAGGAGCCCAGGGCCAGAUGGGCAGCAAAGUGUAUCCGGCUGUAGCCAGCCACAAAAGAGGACACUGAUGUCUGGCAGCAGCACAGAAACCCCUGUGGCUGAUGUUUCUUCCUCUUGGAUGCUGAGGGUGGUUUUUGGAGAAUAGUCAGCUUCACUCCCACCCCAGCCCCAAGGCAUCUCCUCGGAGAAGGCUCAGGCAGGUGGCCAAGGCCAGCAAGGGGCGGGCCUGCAGCUGCUCAGGCCCCCUUGGAUCUCCUCCUGGCAGACAGGGGUAUAGGGGAUAGCAGCCCAUGGGGAUGGGGCCUUGGUUUCCUGCAGAACCUACACGAGAGGCCAAAAAAAAGAUGGGGGUACCAAGGAGAGGAAAACACCCCCGGCACCCACCACCAGCCCGCCUGUAGACUGCAUCCUGUGUGUUCACAUGUGUGAACCGCACGUACGGUUGAGCCUGGCCAGUGCUCAGUCCUUCACUCUGCUGGUCUCUGUCAGGGAGAGCUGACCCUUUCCAGGGCCCUGCCUGCACUGGGCAUGGGGGUCUGAGAAAGGGGCAGCACCGCUGGCAGGUGGGGUCUGGCACUGCCACCCUCAGAAGCUGGCACACGAGGUUUCUUAUUGCUCCUCUUGGCUCUGGAGCACACCUUCUUAAUUUCCAGAAAGGACACAGGCCCAGGAGAGGUGGCAGCAGGGGUCCCACACUGGCCCUCCUGCUGAUCUCCAAGUGGAGCCCGGUGGGCAGGAUGCAGGCUGGCUCUAGCCCCUACGUGUGACCCACAGGCCUCCCACGAAGCCGCUGGUCUCUGCAGAGUGAGAGGUGCCGGGACUACCUGGCCUCCUUGCCGCCUCGGUUACCGGGUCACCGCCCAUCAUUGGUCAGCUGCCUCCAGGGAUCUGGACGUGGGGCACAGAUGAGUGUCCUUACAAAAAUAACUCUGAGUCUGUUCCCAGUGGGACCAGGUUCCUGAGAGCACGUGGGGCCAGGCAAAGGCCACGUGGAAGAGUCCGGCAGGGAGCGCUCCCGCCUGCAGGCCAGGGUUACGGCUGCAGGCGCUCCAGGUACUGCGGCAGGGGGUUCUCCUUGACGUACUUCUGGAUGUACCAGCAGGUGAGAUGGGCCUUCAGGUCCUCCUCCACCACGAAGUCCAGGGCGGCCUGGGAGCCGGGCAGAGAGGAGAGUGGUCAGGGCCUGCAGCCGGCACCAGAAGGUAGCAUUGUCUGCUGCCUCCCCAGGCCCGGCUCCCUGGCCACCCUUCCACUUUGCCCAGGUCAGUAACUCCCUUGAGUUUCAGUGUCACCUGGGAUGAUCCCCACAGACUGGUCCGGUACACAAGGAAAAAACACAUCACCUCUCCCCUACAAGCCCCCUUGCCCCAGGCAGCAUGGAGGACAAAGGUUGCCCUGCAAUUCUCCUGGCGGGGUGGGGGUGGAGGAGGGGAAGCCGGCAGACGGCCCAGCUAAGUCCCAGCAGCAGCCCUCAGGGGAGUGACGGUCAUUCUUUGCUCUGGCUGUAACUCCCUUCAUUAAGCCCAAACCUGCUCUCCAGGCAGCCUGGGGUUUGGGAUGCCCUGAGGAUGAAGGGGUUGGGGGCAGGAAUGGGGCUCCUGUGAAGCACCUGCCACACAGGAGGUGUGUGAGGAUCUUGGAGGCUCAGCCACGCCAGGGUCUUGCAGAACAGGAGCCUGGGCCCAGAAAGGCGGCCACUGGCCCAGAGAGGACCCAGGGCCAAGAAGCAGGCUGAAGUGGCCACCAGGGCCACCGUCUCCUCGGAGCGAAGGUGGCAGCCCCCAUGUCCCCGUCCCCGCUUGGCCCUGCCACCUGCCUGCCCUACCUUGGCAAGGUGCUUGGCGAUGCCACGCCCACGGUAGGCAUCUGGGACCUCGGUGUGCUGCAGGUCCACGAUCCGCUUGCCCACGUACUCAUAGAGCAGGACGGCCCGGUCAUGACAUCCUGGGGGUUGUGGAGACAGGUAAGCCUAUGCUGACUCCCAUCCCAGCGGACUCAGGCACCAAGACGGGUGGAGGGACAGGCAUUUGGAGUCAUUCAGCUGCUACAGCUGAAUCCUGAAUAACCUCUCAGUGCCUCAGUCUCCUCAUCCAUAAAGUGGAGGUACAAUAAAAUGUCCUUCAUAGGGUGGUUUGGAGGAUUAAAUGAGGUAACCUCUGUGACGUGCUUACAGCCAUGCCUAGAACACUUGAGCCCCACAUGAACCUUUGCUACUGCGUCAGUCCUAGCAUCCCAGGGCCCUGCCACCCCUUUCUGUAGCCCUGCUCCCUGCAUCCCCACCCCACCACAUCCCUGGAUCUGGGAGUCCCAGAACCCAGCACUGGACACAGAACAGGGCUCAGCAAAUCUGCAACUAAGGCAGAGCAUGAAGAGAUUAGAGAGGCAGCGCUGCGCCACGCAUCAGGACCACCUGCUGGACCCUGAGAGAGACGCAGCAGGAAAGAUCAGAGGCCUGUGGUAGAGUUCAUGAGAAACUGACGCUGGGCACAGGAGGCAGGAACAAACGGGUUUUCACACUCCACCAGGCCUGCCAAGCCUGGAGCUCACCAGUCCACCCCAAACUGCUGCUGGGCAAACAAUUAACUGAACUUUUUCCUAAUCACAGUUUUUAGUGUCUCAUCUAUUUGUCUCUCCACCUACCCAUCCAUCAACCCACCCAUCCACUUAUCCAUCCACCAAAUGUUUCCUGAGCCCCAGGUACUGUUUCAGAUGCUGGGAGUAUAGCAACAAACAAGCUAGACAUGGAGUCCUACCCCCAUGAAACCGGAAGGGGAGAAAGAGAAUAAACAUGAAAAGCAAGUGAUGUGUAGGAUGCCAGGGAAUGGGGGCAGGUGAAGACAGGAAGGAGAGGGCACCAGCCAUUCUGAGGGAACAGUGUUCUGGGCAGAGGGAACAGCCAGUGCAAAGGCUCUGAGGCAGGAGUAGGCCUGAAUGAGGGGCCGCUGGAGUGGGGUGGGUGAGGGGAAGGGCAGAGAUGGGGGCAGGGAGGUGAUAGGGCAGGUCCUGCAGAGCCUCCUAAGCCUUCUGAGCUGGGCGCCACUAGAAGGCCCUCAGCAAAGGGACAGAUGUGAUUCACUCUUUAAAAUCAUGCUGUGUUUCAUGAGUUUUAACUUCAAAGCCCCAGAAAAUCUGCCCUUAAAGCCUGUGCUGGGCAACACGAGGGGAAGGCUGACAGGCCAAGAGGUCCAACCACUAGUCCAGGGCCACCGGAACUGGGGCCAACGGCAGCAAGGAGGCCUUCUGGCUCUUGGUAUCUCCUUUGAUUCUCCCCAAAGCCUCAGGAGAGUGGCUACAAUUCAUCUCCCCAUUUCCAGAUGAGGAACUACUGAGAUGCAGGGAUCCAAGUCACACAGCAGGCCAAGAUGACGCUGGAGCCCAGGCCUGCAGGUCCUGAGCCACAGCCAUUCUUUCUGCUCCACCGACACACCUGCUACUUCCUGCACCCGCCAUCGCCUAGGCACUUCCCUCUGCCUGAUGCCCUUUCUCCGUUCCUGCCAGGCCCAGCUGAGGGUUCCCCAGCCCCACUCCCCUCAUGCCUGCAGCCCCGCCCCCACACCAGCCCUGCUGCCUCCUCCUUGUGGGCCUGACUGUCCUUCUGUGGACUAUGCCUGCCACCCUGGCCAAGGCCCAGCUGUGGCCACUGCCGCCUGUCCUGGCUGCACAGCAAGGGAUGUGGUUCUUGGCUCCCCACCUGCUGGGGUUAAUUCAACUCACCCAGGACAGGAGAGCAGAGAUCGGAGGCUAUUCUGGGACUGACUCCGUCACCAAGGGAGCUGCCUACCUAGCCUGGCCAUUUAAUUACCCCAGGCUCAUUGAGGGCCUACUGUGUCCCAGUAGGGUUUGGGCUGCAGGGCAGGCAGCAGCGAACAAAACUGAUGAAACUCUUCCUCAUGGAGAUCUUACGUACUGAUGAAGACACACAAUAAGUAAUAUCAUUAUAAAUAAUACAGGGGCCAGGCACGGUGACCCACUCCUAUAAUCCCAGCACUUUGGGAGGCCGAGGUGGGUGGAUCACCUGAGUUCAGGAGUUCGAGACCAGCCUGGCCAACAUGGUGAAACCCCAUCUCUACUAAAGAUACAAAAAUUAGCCAGAAAUGGUAGCGGGUGCUUGUAAUCCCAGCUACUUGGGAGGCUGAGGCAGGAGAAUCACUUGAACCCGGGAGGCAGAGGUUGCAGUGAGCUGAGACCGCAUCAUUGCACUCCAGGCUGGGCAACAAGGGCAAAACUCCAUCUCAAAAAAAAAAGAAAAAAAAAAAAAAAGCUGAGCAUGGUGGUACACACCUAUGGUCCCGGCUAUUUGGGAGGCUGA
rnacentral:lncRNA from 1 species